AUUGAACGCUGGCGGCAUGCCUUACACAUGCAAGUCGAACGGCAGCACGGGAGCAAUCCUGGUGGCGAGUGGCGAACGGGUGAGUAAAGUAUCGGAACGUGCCCAGUCGUGGGGGAUAACGUAGCGAAAGUUACGCUAAUACCGCAUACGAUCUAUGGAUGAAAGCGGGGGAUCGCAAGACCUCGCGCGAGUGGAGCGGCCGAUAUCAGAUUAGGUAGUUGGUGGGGGAAAGGCUCACCAAGCCGACGAUAUGUAGCUGGUGUGAGAGGACGACCAGCCACACUGGGACUAAGACACGGCCCAGACUCCUACGGGAGUCAGCAGUGGGGAAGUUUGGACAAUGGGCGAAAGCCUGAUCCAGCCAUGCCGCGUGCAGGAUGAAGGCCUUCGGGUUGUAAACUGCUUUUGUACGGAACGAAAAGGUUUGGGCUAAUAAGCUGAGCUCAUGACGGUACCGUAAGAAUAAGCACCGGCUAACUACGUGCCAGCAGCCGCCGUAA
rnacentral:rRNA from 1 species